AGCAGCCGCGGUAAUUCCAGCUCCAAUAGCGUAUAUUAAAGUUGUUGCAGUUAAAAAGCCCGUAGUUGAAUUUCGGGAUCAGUUGGUCGGUCGUGCCUCGGUACGUACUGGUCAAAUUGAUUCCUACCUUCUGACGAACCACGAUGUCAUUAAUUUGGUGUCGCGGGAAAUCAGGACUGUUACUUUGAAAAAAUUAGAGUGUUUAAAGCAGGCUCGCGCUUGAAUACAUUAGCAUGGAAUAAUGAAAUAGGACGUUUGAUUCUAUUUUGUUGGUUUCUAGGAUCGACGUAAUGAUUAAUAGGGAUAGUUGGGGGCAUUAGUAUUCAAUUGUCAGAGGUGAAAUUCUUGGAUUUAUUGAAGACUAACUACUGCGAAAGCAUUUGCCAAGGAUGUUUUCAUUAAUCAAGAACGAAAGUUAGGGGGAUCGAAGACGAUCAGAUACCGUCGUAGUCUUAACCAUAAACUAUAGCCGACUAGGGAUCGGAUGAUGUUAAUUUUUAAUGACUCAUUCGGCGCCUUA
rnacentral:misc_RNA from 1 species